ACUAUCGUUAACUGAAUACAUAGGUUAACGAGGCGAACCGGGGGAACUGAAACAUCUAAGUACCCCGAGGAAAAGAAAUCAACCGAGAUUCCCCCAGUAGCGGCGAGCGAACGGGGAGCAGCCCAGAGUCUGAAUCAGCUUGUGUGUUAGUGGAACGGUCUGGAAAGUCCGACGGUACAGGGUGAUAGUCCCGUACACCAAAAUGCACAGGUUGUGAACUCGAAGAGUAGGGCGGGACACGUGGUAUCCUGUCUGAAUAUGGGGGGACCAUCCUCCAAGGCUAAAUACUCCUGACUGACCGAUAGUGAACCAGUACCGUGAGGGAAAGGCGAAAAGAACCCCGGCGAGGGGAGUGAAAAAGAACCUGAAACCGUGUACGUACAAGCAGUGGGAGCACCUUCGGGUGUGACUGCGUACCUUUUGUAUAAUGGGUCAGCGACUUAUAUUCUGUAGCAAGGUUAACCGUAUAGGGGAGCCGCAGGGAAACCGAGUCUUAACUGGGCGUUAAGUUGCAGGGUAUAGACCCGAAACCCGGUGAUCUAGCCAUGGGCAGGUUGAAGGUUGGGUAACACUAACUGGAGGACCGAACCGACUAAUGUUGAAAAAUUAGCGGAUGACUUGUGGCUGGGGGUGAAAGGCCAAUCAAACCGGGAGAUAGCUGGUUCUCCCCGAAAGCUAUUUAGGUAGCGCCUCGUGAAUUCAUCUUCGGGGGUAGAGCACUGUUUCGGCUAGGGGGUCAUCCCGACUUACCAACCCGAUGCAAACUACGAAUACCGAAGAAUGUUAUCACGGGAGACACACGGCGGGUGCUAACGUCCGUCGUGAAGAGGGAAACAACCCAGACCGCCAGCUAAGGUCCCAAAGUCAUGGUUAAGUGGGAAACGAUGUGGGAAGGCACAGACAGCCAGGAUGUUGGCUUAGAAGCAGCCAUCAUUUAAAGAAAGCGUAAUAGCUCACUGGUCGAGUCGGCCUGCGCGGAAGAUGUAACGGGGCUAAACCAUGCACCGAAGCUGCGGCAGCGACACUAUGUGUUGUUGGGUAGGGGAGCGUUCUGUAAGCCUGCGAAGGUGGCCUGUGAGGGUUGCUGGAGGUAUCAGAAGUGCGAAUGCUGACAUAAGUAACGAUAAAGCGGGUGAAAAGCCCGCUCGCCGGAAGACCAAGGGUUCCUGUCCAACGUUAAUCGGGGCAGGGUGAGUCGACCCCUAAGGCGAGGCCGAAAGGCGUAGUCGAUGGGAAACAGGUUAAUAUUCCUGUACUUGGUGUUACUGCGAAGGGGGGACGGAGAAGGCUAUGUUAGCCGGGCGACGGUUGUCCCGGUUUAAGCAUGUAGGCGGAGGUUCCAGGUAAAUCCGGUACCUUUUAACGCUGAGGUGUGAUGACGAGGCACUACGGUGCUGAAGUAACAAAUGCCCUGCUUCCAGGAAAAGCCUCUAAGCAUCAGGUAACAUUAAAUCGUACCCCAAACCGACACAGGUGGUCAGGUAGAGAAUACCAAGGCGCUUGAGAGAACUCGGGUGAAGGAACUAGGCAAAAUGGUGCCGUAACUUCGGGAGAAGGCACGCUGGUGUGUAGGUGAAGUCCCUGCGGACGGAGCUGAGACCAGUCGAAGAUACCAGCUGGCUGCAACUGUUUAUUAAAAACACAGCACUGUGCAAACACGAAAGUGGACGUAUACGGUGUGACGCCUGCCCGGUGCCGGAAGGUUAAUUGAUGGGGUUAUCCGUAAGGAGAAGCUCUUGAUCGAAGCCCCGGUAAACGGCGGCCGUAACUAUAACGGUCCUAAGGUAGCGAAAUUCCUUGUCGGGUAAGUUCCGACCUGCACGAAUGGCGUAAUGAUGGCCAGGCUGUCUCCACCCGAGACUCAGUGAAAUUGAACUCGCUGUGAAGAUGCAGUGUACCCGCGGCAAGACGGAAAGACCCCGUGAACCUUUACUAUAGCUUGACACUGAACAUUGAGCCUUGAUGUGUAGGAUAGGUGGGAGGCUUUGAAGCGUGGACGCCAGUCUGCGUGGAGCCAACCUUGAAAUACCACCCUUUAAUGUUUGAUGUUCUAACGUUGGCCCCUUAUCGGGGUUGCGGACAGUGUCUGGUGGGUAGUUUGACUGGGGCGGUCUCCUCCCAAAGAGUAACGGAGGAGCACGAAGGUUAGCUAAUCCUGGUCGGACAUCAGGAGGUUAGUGCAAUGGCAUAAGCUAGCUUGACUGCGAGCGUGACGGCGCGAGCAGGUGCGAAAGCAGGUCAUAGUGAUCCGGUGGUUCUGAAUGGAAGGGCCAUCGCUCAACGGAUAAAAGGUACUCCGGGGAUAACAGGCUGAUACCGCCCAAGAGUUCAUAUCGACGGCGGUGUUUGGCACCUCGAUGUCGGCUCAUCACAUCCUGGGGCUGAAGUAGGUCCCAAGGGUAUGGCUGUUCGCCAUUUAAAGUGGUACGCGAGCUGGGUUUAGAACGUCGUGAGACAGUUCGGUCCCUAUCUGCCGUGGGCGCUGGAGAAUUGAGGGGGGCUGCUCCUAGUACGAGAGGACCGGAGUGGACGCAUCACUGGUGUUCGGGUUGUCAUGCCAAUGGCACUGCCCGGUAGCUAAAUGCGGAAGAGAUAAGUGCUGAAAGCAUCUAAGCACGAAACUUGCCCCGAGAUGAGUUCU
rnacentral:rRNA from 1 species